CUAAGUUUGAUGGCGACCGGCGCACGGGUGAGUAACACGUAUCCAACCUGCCGAUAACUCGGGGAUAGCCUUUCGAAAGAAAGAUUAAUACCCGAUGGCAUAAUAGAACCGCAUGGUUUGAUUAUUAAAGAAUUUCGGUUAUCGAUGGGGAUGCGUUCCAUUAGGCAGUUGGUGGGGUAACGGCCCACCAAACCUUCGAUGGAUAGGGGUUCUGAGAGGAAGGUCCCCCACAUUGGAACUGAGACACGGUCCAAACUCCUACGGGAGGCAGCAUG
rnacentral:rRNA from 1 species